CGGAGGCUACCGCUAUUGGAGUUCGUUGAAGGCAUGCGAGUCGCGAGUCUUAGGGACUCGGCGUACCGCUCAGUAACACGUGGGUAACCUGCCCUAUGCUGGGGAAUAACCUCGGGAAACUGAGAAUAAUGCCCCAUAGUUCACCACGCCUGGAACGGUGGGUGGAUUAAAGCUCCGGCGGCAUAGGAUGGGCCUGCGGCGUAUCAGGUCGUAGGGGGUGUAAUGUACCCUCUAGCCAUCGACGCGUACGGGUGUUGGGAGACAUUGCCCGGAGAUGGAUUCUGAGACACGAAUCCAGACCCUACGGGGUGCAGCAGGCGCGAAAACUUGGCAAUGCGAGAAAUCGUGACCAGGGAACUCCAAGUGCAUCGGGUAAGACCGAUGCUUUUCUUGACUCUUCAACGGUCUUGGAAUAAGGGGUGGGUAAGGACGGUGCCAGCCGCCGCGGUAAUACCGGCGCCUCAAGUGGUAGUCGCUUUUAUUGGGCCUAAAACGUCCGUAGCCGGUUUGGUACAUUCGUGGGUAAAUCAAGGCGCUCAACGUCUUGAAUUCUGCGAGCACGGCCAGACUUGGGACCGGGUGAGGUGUGGGGUACUCUCAGGGUAGGGGUAAAAUCCUGUCAUCCUGAGAGGACCACCUGUUGCGAAGGCGCCACACUAGAACGGAUCCGACGGUCAGGGACGAAGCCUAGGGGCACGAACCGGAUUAGAUACCCGGGUAGUCCUAGGUGUAAACGCUGUGGACUUGAUGUUGGGAGUGCUCCGAGCACCCUCAGUGUCGAAGCGAAGGUGAUAAGUCCACUGCCUGGGGAGUACGGUCGCAAGGCUGAAACUUAAAGGAAUUGGCGGGG
rnacentral:rRNA from 1 species